rnacentral:rRNA from 1 species
UACGUAGGGUGCAAGCGUUGUCCGGAAUUAUUGGGCGUAAAGAGCUUGUAGGCGGUUUGUCGCGUCUGCUGUGAAAUUUCGGGGCUCAACCCCGAACUUGCAGUGGGUACGGGCAGACUAGAGUGUGGUAGGGGAGACUGGAAUUCCUGGUGUAGCGGUGAAAUGCGUAGAUAUCGAGAGGAACACCUGCGGCGAAGGCGGGUUGCUGGGCUGACACUGACGCUGAGGCGCGAAAGCUAGGGGAGCGAACGGG